rnacentral:misc_RNA from 1 species
UUGUGAUUGGCUAUUCACUCAGUUUGUUGGACUAACCGGUGCGACGCCACCGGCGGCGAGAAUCUCUGUCAGAGCCGUCAUGGCUUUCACCUGCAUCUCCAAAGCCGCUAUAUAAUCACUUGUUUCCUCUAAAAGACUAGUAAACGAUGUCUUCCGACAACCGGGAACCAACCGGCUCAAAGCACGAACUCUGUCCUCCAAAACCGGUAACCUAUUGCUCUCUCGCGCCAUCUCCUUCCUCCUCAACCGGCUCUCACCUGUUACCUUCACUCUCCUAACCUUUUUAACCUUCCUCAACCUGAGCCUUCCCGCCAGAAUCGCGCGGCUCCACCUAGUCGUGCCUUUUCCUGCGACGGCGAGGACUCUGUCGGCAGUUUCUCUGAUUUCUCUGCCUUUAGCCGCCGCCGUCGAAGAGGUCCGACGAGAUAAGCGGAGAGCUUCGAGAAGCUUGGAGGAAUAGAUCUGCAGCUCCGCUUGGGUUUUCCACCUUGGAUUGGUGAUAGUUCGAUUGUUCGUAUUGUCGUUUUGAGCGUGAUUCUGCGUUUGGUCAGUGAGUUUUCUUCGCUUCUUCCUCUGCUUGAAUUCUUGCGAUUCGAGGCUUGAGAUCAACGAAGCCAUUAAUAUAAUUCUCUUGAAUAUACUCUUUUUUUUUUUGGC